CCUGAUCGGCAUGAUUACCUGGCUGUGGUUUUUGGGAGCGUUGCCCCAUUGCCAGUUCAGUGCUGGAUGAGACUGCUGUGCGGUUACCUGUGGCAGCUGGGGGUUUUCAGAAGCGUCUCCAGGCUGGUGAACAUUAGAGGUAAGUAGGCCCUCAGGCUUGCGUUUCAGUUUAAUUGGCUUUGGGUAGUAUGUGAUCAGUGCGACAGAGGUUCCCGUGGCCAAUUAAGGUGGUUUCGAGGCUGAAUGACACUCGGGAAAGGUUGUAUUUUGGGAAAUAGUGUCGGCAGAUCGGGAGCAGCUUGAAAU